rnacentral:lncRNA from 10 species
CAAAUGUGUAAAUUUUGACAUAUGUUAAAACUUUGUUUGUGUAGACUGCAAAAACAAAGCAAAACAAAAACUGAAUCAGUGGUAAAAGACUCAUAUCCUUGGGGUAAAAUUGCAGAGAAAGGCAAGAAACUUAUUAUUAACAUUAAAAUAAGGCUAGAAGUAACCUGAUGUGGGGCCAGGCGUGGUGGCUCACCCUACGUUUAUUUCUUUUGCAUUCAAAAGUUCUAAACUAAACUAUAUAAAUGUUAUUU